GCAUGCUCAAGGGUCUGCCCGUUCUUGGAGAUACCAGCUUCAAAUUCACCAACACCAGCAGUAACAAUCAGGAUAGCACAGUCAGCCUGGGAUGUGCCUGUAAUCAUGUUUUUGAUGAAGUCUCUGUGUCCUGGGGCAUCAAUGAUGUUCACAUAGUAUUUGCUGGUCUCGAAUUUCCAGGGAGAUGUCAAUAGUGAUACCAUGCUCACGCUCAGCUUUCAGUUUGUAUAAGACCCAGGUGUACUUGAAGGAGCCCUUUCCCAU
rnacentral:lncRNA from 1 species